GGGGGGGGGGGCCUACACAUGCAAGUCGAGCGGUAACAGAGAAUAGCUUGCUAUUCUGCUGACGAGCGGCGGACGGGUGAGUAACGCGUAGGAAUCUGCCCGGUAGCGGGGGAUAGCCCAGAGAAAUUUGGAUUAAUACCGCAUACGCCCUACGGGGGAAAGGAGGGGAUCUUCGGACCUUCCACUAUCGGAUGAGCCUGCGUGAGAUUAGCUAGUUGGUGGGGUAAAGGCCUACCAAGGCGACGAUCUCUAGCUGGUCUGAGAGGAUGAUCAGCCACACCGGAACUGAGACACGGUCCGGACUCCUACGGGAGGCAGCAGUGGGGAAUAUUGCACAAUGGGCGAAAGCCUGAUGCAGCCAUGCCGCGUGUGUGAAGAAGGCCUUAGGGUUGUAAAGCACUUUCAGCGAGGAGGAAAGGUUAGUCGCUAAUAUCGGCUAGCUGUGACGUUACUCGCAGAAGAAGCACCGGCUAACUCCGUGCCAGCAGCCGCGGUAAUACGGAGGGUGCAAGCGUUAAUCGGAAUUACUGGGCGUAAAGCGCGCGUAGGCGGCUUGUUAAGCCAGAUGUGAAAGCCCCGGGCUUAACCUGGGAACUGCAUUUGGAACUGGCAGGCUAGAGUACAGAAGAGGGUGGUAGAAUUUCCUGUGUAGCGGUGAAAUGCGUAGAUAUAGGAAGGAAUACCAGUGGCGAAGGCGGCCACCUGGUCUGAUACUGACGCUGAGGUGCGAAAGCGUGGGGGAGCAAACAGGAUUAGAUACCCUGGUAGUCCACGCCGUAAACGAUGUCUACUAGCCGUUGGAAACCUUGAGUUUUUAGUGGCGCAGCUAACGCGAUAAGUAGACCGCCUGGGGAGUACGGUCGCAAGAUUAAAACUCAAAUGAAUUGACGGGGGCCCGCACAAGCGGUGGAGCAUGUGGUUUUAUUCGAAGCAACGCGAAGAACCUUACCUACUCUUGACAUCCAGAGAACUUAGCAGAGAUGCUUUGGUGCCUUCGGGAACUCUGAAACAGUGCUGCAUGGCUGUCGUCAGCUCGUGUUGUGAAAUGGUGGGUUAAGUC
rnacentral:rRNA from 1 species